rnacentral:snoRNA from 1 species
AAGUCAGCCAAUUAAUCUGCUUACCUGAAUGUGUUUCUGCAGAAAUUUUUUAAAAGCUGGCAUUGAAGUUGUUAAGGGCCCUUAAAAUGGCUGUAACA